CUCCAGAACAUGGACACAAACUGAGAGCCCCUAUCAGACACAAUAUUGUGAGGGAUGCCAUGCAAAUGGACAAUUUCACGUAUGAAAAUUAGGACCAAUUCUUGCGAAGAUGGCAACUUCUUGAGAGGAAUGAAGUGAGCCAUCUUAGAAAAUCGGUCUACAACCAUGAGAAUAGUAGUGAACCCAGCAGAGCUAGGAAGCUCAACAAUAAAGUCCAUGGAUAAGUGGGACCAUGGAAUCUCAGGAACAGGAAGAGGCUGCAACAGGCCACAAGGAAGUGCAUGAGUCACCUUAGAAAC